GGUAUGCCCAAAAUCAGGGUUCAAACAAAAUAAAAGAUCUAAUUUUCUUCGUAACAAAUUCUCGUCUUUUCUUCUUCUUCUUCCUUUAUCAUAACCUAAUAGUUAUAACUUUUUCCGGCAUCUGUUUGGUUGAAUCGAGAAGAAAAAGGAUCAAUAGCUGCUACUGUUGAUUUGAGGAGAAAAUUAUAGUGAGGAGAUUUGAUAAUUUUCGGUUCCGUGAACCGAAAAAUUCAAGAAGGAAGUGGAUCUGAUGUUGUAGAAUAAUGGGUUUGGUUCAGAUUUGUGGUUGUGCGUUGGUCAAUUCUCAGAGAGAAGAGUGAUUAUGAUUUUAAGAUGGAGGUGAAUUGCUUAUGGUUUGGUUGAAUCGAAGUGCAUCUGGAAGACUCGGCGAUUGACCAAUAUCACAAAUCUCUUUAUUGAAGUGAUGAAAGUGUAAUUUCUUCCUCGUCUUCAACCAUCAAAAUCUCUUUUUCAGUUUCAUGACUAGUUGGAGCUGUAUUGGAACCAACCGAUGGAGCAGGACUCGAUCUAAUAGUCCUAGAACUGGUACUGCUGGAGCUCCGUCUCAAGGUCCUUGUUUUUGCAGGUGCCGGAUGAACAUGUUUUAUAUUUCGAAGUGUUUUUUUAAGAAAUGGAGCUUCUCUCUGCUACAGGUUUUUGAGAAAUGAUUUUUCUCUCCAAGAUGGGUCUUGGCGAAAUGACAUUUUUUGGUGUGGGAGAUCUAACCUUAAUGGGUGUCUUCUCUUUUGAAGAAUUUGAUGACAGAGUUCUUUGAAGUGUUGCAGGUGAUGGAGGUUUAUCGAAAGAUUUUCUUCUUAAGAAUCUAUGAUUGCUUGUAUCACCUGUAGCUGGCCACUAGUUUCUUUGGAUGAACUCAAUGUAUUCUUGAGAUAAUUCGGCGUUGAUUUUUCUGAUAGAGUCCCAUGAACCUUAUCAGGAGAAGUUGGAAUUGACGAUUUAUAUGCGAGUCUCGAUGUUCUCCCAUGGGUAGUUUCAUGGUUUAAAGGGGAUGAUGAUGAACCAAUCUUCUCCUUUCCAUGAGAAGUGUCUUUCGAUUUUGCAGCCAUUUGUAGAAUAUUGAACGAGAACCUACACAAAACCAGAGAGGAACAUAAAUACGGUUACAAGACUCGGUGGAACAUAAGCCCAAACACCACAAAAAAACCCCUGCAGUAAACUAUGGUUCAGAUAUUCCAACUUGCGAAUUUAAUUUUGAUGGUUGAAAGAGUGUAUUGCUAUGUGUCGAAACUAGUUGAAGAAAUAAAAUUUGGAAAAGGAAA